ACGUGACGCCCGGCCAGCAGUACAUGCUGAUACCACCACACUCGGAAUGUAGGCCCGUUCUGCAGUAUGUUUCGAGGGAGCAUUGAGCUGCGGCUUCUGUAUAGGAUAUUCCGCAAAAAAAAUGGUUUGAUUUGUGAUCGUACGGGAGGGGAGAGAAAGUUGGA
rnacentral:ribozyme from 1 species